rfam:Aedes albopictus isolate Foshan contig32323, whole genome shotgun sequence.
GGCUCGGUAGCUUAGUUGGAAAAGCACUUGACUAGCGAAUAAGGGUCGUGAGUUCAAAUCUCACCUGAGCUG